rnacentral:rRNA from 1 species
GAUCCUACGGGACGCAGUAGGGAAUUUUCGGCAAUGGGGGGAACCCUGACCGAGCGACGCCGCGGGAAGGAAGAAGGAAUUCGUUCUGUAAACUUCUGUUAUAAAGGAAGAAAGGCGGAUGAAGGAAAUGACAUCCGAGUGACGGUACUUUAUGAGAAAGCCACGGCUAACUACGUGCCAGCAGCCGCGGUAAUACGUAGGUGGCAAGCGUUAUCCGGAAUUAUUGGGCGUAAAGAGGGAGCAGGCGGCAGCAAAGGUCUGUGGUGAAAGACUGAAGCUUAACUUCAGUAAGCCAUAGAAACCAG